UUCAAGCUAUUCUCCUGCCUCAGCCUCCCGAAUAACAGGCAGGCCAGAGAGAAUGAGUACUCAAGACACCUGGCCCAAACAUUCAUGAAGAAGACACCAAGUCAGAAGAGACUUCCUCCUUUGCAUGAUCCUGUAAGGACGGAAGAGGUAUUUGAGGGAGCUGUAUCUCAAUCCUAUGUCAUGUGGUAGGAACCUUGACUUCCUUUAAUUCACCUGAUUACUGAAUCAUGAUAAUAGCUACCAUUUUUUUUUUUUUUUUUUAGCUCUUCCCAUAUGCUAGGAGCUUUAGUAUUUAUUGUCUCAUUCACAACAACCCUGCAAGGUAUGUCUUGUUUUCUCCAUUUUACACAAAACACAGUUGAGGCACACAGAGGAUAAGUAACUGCCAAGGUUUCUUAGCUGGCAAGUGGUAGAGCUGUAUUUGAACAUGGGUCUGUUUCGUGUCGAAGCCCAAACUCCACAUUUCUGGUUUGUCUCUAGCAGAUUAGUUUAGACUAAGAAACAGCCCAGGCACUGGGCCACUGUGCUCGCUGACUCUGCCUUGUUCACUUGGUGAUGCUGUGUGUGACAGAUUAACACUUUAUACCUUGGCUUACCUAUCAGUCACUUGGGGAUUUGGGAUUUAUGGGAAAAGGCCCUACUCAUGCAGGGUAGAGAGAUUUUAAGAGAUACAGCUAUUAGUAAUGGCUUUAGAAUCUUUUGCAUGUAGAAAGUUCCUUAGACUACCAACUAAUGAGCAAAGUGACUUCCAAGUUUAAGUGAAUUCUAUAUAAAGAAUACAAGACACCCUUGAGGAUAUAACUGAGGAAAAAGGCCCUGAAAUUUUAGUAUCCUUGCUUUGGUGGAAACUCAAUAGGUAUCAAAUGAAAUAAUGAGGUCAGAUAUGUUACAUAAUACCCUGAUGUUUAUCUCUGGUAAUUAAGUCUGCAGAAAAAGACUUAUUGGAAUAAAUCUUUUGUCUCUAAACUCUGCUCAUAUGAAAUAGCACCAUUUGGCAAAGGCCAAAUUCCUGGUGGAUAUCUCACUGAGGAAGCAAACAUUUUCAAGAAUGCCAGAGUUAAAGGGAGACAACACACACCCUAAACAAGACUGUGAAGAUACUAUGAAACUAUUCUGUUGAAACCAUAAGCAUAGUAUCUUUUCCAGGGUGAGGGGGUUUCUGUAACUCUCUUGAGUGAAGUCGCUCUUUCUGCAACCCCCCACUUCACCUGCAUUAUGGAUUUGCACAUAAAGGAGUUUUUCUGAAUCUUCCCUUCUUCUACAGACCAACAAUGUUUCCUCUCUCCUCAGAACUCCCACUUGAGGGAGUUGCCAAGACAUUCCUCUGUUUGCCCAUUAGCAGAGUCAGGGAUAUCAGAGUAUUUGCAAGCCAGCUAGAGAGCCUUUGAUGGCUUUUAUGUUAUGUUGAAAACAAAAUGUUGUGUUAUUGUGCAAGAGGAAGAUUAUGUGUGUGUCAUCAUUUUGUGCUUGGUCUCCUACGUCCAAUCCUGCUCUAAGUUGUCAUUUCAUUUCCUAACCUCCUCCCCUCCCAGUCAGGUAUUUCUGUUCCAUCCCUGGGUUUGUAGCCUCCCUUUUUUUUUCUUGAGUUCUGUGCAGCUCUGCAUUUCAGCAGACGUUUCCUAUGUAUCAAGCACUGUGCGGGGAGCUAGGGACACACAAGGUAGAAUGUGAUCCUGGCCUCUGAGAAGCUUACAAUCUUGGGAGACAGAUAUAAACAAUCUAUUUUCCUUAGAGUUUCCUUCUCCUGAAGCUUGGGCACCCAAACCCAUCACCACUGUCCCCCCCUUCAAUAGUUUCUCCUGUUUACUUGGUGGGGAGCAUUUCUUUAUGUAUUUGGAGACUUUCUAUAUUAUAGAGUUGCUGUUGCUACAAGUGAAAUUAGUCUAGCUUCCUACAGAGAGGGAAGUUACUCUCUCCCUGUUGAUUUUCAGAGAAGAAAGAACCCUUGUAAAGAUAGAUUCCAAACCAAGAGACCCAAGGAGCAAGCGCAUUAUUGUGCCAUAAAUAGGCCAUCACUUGGGCAGGUCCUGGGACAGCCUGGGAAAGGGGACUCGGUAAUCUUAGGGCCCACUCUCCCUUUAAUCUGCUCUCCCAGACAAAGCAGACCGGAAGUGUUGACUUUGGCAAUAGGGAACUGGCCAAUAGCCUGCAGCUCAGUGAAUGAAAUUAGAAUCUUGAGUGGAUGGGGAGAGGGAGGUAUCUCCAACACUAAUAGCAAUCAAAGGGUUUGUGCUAUGGUUAUAAUCAGUGUGGCAGAGGAAAGUCAAAGGAAUACCAUUUCCAAUAAACUCAGAGGCGUGAAAAGGCAAAUCAAUUUUAUGAACACCCAUGAAAUUGGUUGGUUGUGACCACUAUGGGUGGAAACACUGAGCUUCAGUGGAAUUUCCCUUAAUAUUAAACCAGGAAACUAGAGUCCCUGGUUAUCUCUCUGUCGUAUACAGCAGCUGACAUCUAUUCCUCCUGGGGAUUGGGCAGAUCUUAAAGUUGAUGUCCUAAGCUUCUGACUGGGAUCACAGCUCUGGAUAGGGGUUGGGUCAGGCCAUCGCCUUUAGAAAACCAGUUAUUUAGCCUCUCUUUCCAAUGGGAUUUCUCUGAAACCUUGUUCAUGAUGAUGCCAACUUGUGUCUCCUUGAAAAAUCAAAACAAUGGAAUUAAACUUGGGUGUUCUCCUAUA
rnacentral:lncRNA from 1 species